rnacentral:rRNA from 1 species
UUCCUCUGUGCCACAGAUCUCAUCUGAUCUUGGAAGCUAAGCAGAGCAGGCCUGGUUAGUACCUGGAUGGGAGUUCAUUACCUUAAGAAAAACAAGU